rnacentral:piRNA from 1 species
UCUUUCCUUCAAUGGUUAGGAUCAGAGUA